rnacentral:tRNA from 1 species
GGGGGCGUGGCGGAACGGUAGACGCAGGAGACUUAAAAUCUCUCGGGCGCAGGCCCGUGCGGGUUCGAGUCCCGCCGCCCCCACCA